rnacentral:rRNA from 1 species
UACGGAGGGUGCGAGCGUUGUCCGGAAUCACUGGGCGUAAAGGGCGCGUAGGCGGCCUGAUAAGUAGGGGGUGAAAUCUUGCGGCUUAACCGCAAGGCUGCCUCCUAAACUGUCGGGCUAGAGCACAGUAGAGGCAGGUGGAAUUCCCGGUGUAGCGGUGGAAUGCGUAGAGAUCGGGAAGAACAUCAGUGGCGAAGGCGGCCUGCUGGGCUGUUGCUGACGCUGAGGCGCGACAGCGUGGGGAGCAAACAGG